rnacentral:rRNA from 1 species
GACGAACGCUGGCGGCGUGCUUAACACAUGCAAGUCGAACGGAAAGGCCUGCUUUCCCUUGUGGAUUGCGGGUACUCGAGUGGCGAACGGGUGAGUAACACGUGAGUGAUCUGCCCCCAACUUGGGUAUAAGCCUGGGAAACUGGGUCUAAUUCCCGAUAGGACUGCAGGGUGGUGCCUGUGGUGGAAAACGAUUUUCUAGUGGUUGGGGAUGAGCUCGCGGCCUAUCAGCUUGUUGGUGGGGUAAUGGCCUACCAAGGCGGCGACGGGUAGCCGGCCUGGGAGGGUGGACGGCCACAUUGGGACUGAGAUACGGCCCAGACUCCUACGGGAGGCAGCAGUGGGGAAUAUUGCACAAUGGGCGGAAGCCUGAUGCAGCGACGCCGCGUGGGGGAUGACGGCCCUCGGGUUGUAAACUCCUUUCGACCGCGAGGAAGCCACCUGGUUGGAAGGGUGGUGACGGUAGUGGUAGAAGAAGCACCGGCUAACUACGUG